UUCCACAAGGUCUCUUGGCUCCACCCUUGCUAAGUGAAAUCUGCCAGGUGGGUAUCAUUUGACCUUUGCUAUAUAGGAAGCAUGAGGAGUUAUGGGAGGAAUUGCCUCCCUAGGGGAGUUUGAGGCUCAGGUUACCAAGGGUGCUUUUCUACUGUCCUGGUGAAAUGGACUCAGUGUUCCCCAGUAGGCUACUUUUUCUUUGUGUUUUCUACCAUCUCUGUGAAAUAGGUUCAGAGACUCUGUGAGCUAGUUACAUUGGUGGUUCCUUCUCAGAACAGGAAAACCCUGGUGGUGCUUCUUCCCUGUGAAAUAGUUUGGCAGUGACUCAAGUUCAAAAGCUGGCAGGUAGUCUUGUAUUCCCCAUAGCUGGCUUUGAAGAUGGAAGAAACACAGCUGUUACCGUUGCUGCAGUUAGCUCAAAGCUGUGGGGUCCUGGACGUUGAUGACAUAUCCUAGACCAGAUUGUAGCAGCAACAAUCAAGAACUAGAGCAGUCCCCUUUGACUGUUUCAGCACACCUUGGAUCAGGGACACAGAGGAAAAAGUUAUUUUUAACAGCUAUUUCACUCAGGAGGAUUGACAAUGCAGUGGACACCUGCUGUGACCAAAGAAACCUUCAGUGAAAUGGACCUCAAGAAGGACACGCAUGUAUGUCAGAGUUCGGUAUAUGACUGUCACAGGAGAAGACUACUCAUUUAACUUAGCUUCAGCCAAAUCAUGAUCGAAGCAGUUUAUUGAUUUGUUAAUUUGAUAUAUCAUUAGACAACAGUCAACGGACUAUACAUUCAAAACCUGUAUUAGUGCAACAGAUAAACAGUAACACUAGGUUGUUAUGAAAUGUUGAGAAACAACAACAAAUUUCUAAAUGCUGUUCUGUAGCUAACCUCAAGGUAUUGUAAUCACACUAACACAGGUAUGUGUGCACACACGCAUGUGUGCAUACAUUCCUACAACUGCAUGCACUCAUAUUUCUCCAUUUCUCUAACAUUUGUCCUUGACAUCAUAGCUCCCCUUUACUUUAGGUACUUGCAGAUACACCUGCUUGUUCUUUUUCUCAUAUUUUAGUGAAAAGAUUAUUCUAGAACUAGUUUAAUCUUAUAUUUUAAUCACCCACAGUCAGUGACAAAGCAAGGACCUAUUUCCCUGGAUUUUCAAAACACAAGUGUGUGAGUUUAGAUUCACAAGUUAGAGCUGGAGAUUCAUAAACUUCAGCAUGAGUCAAGGUUUACAGAUCUAUUUGAGAUCAAAUCUUACCAGGAGUUAGAUUAAUUUCAGCUUGCUAGGUAGGAUCUCAGAUGGAUUUUCUCUGAACAAAGACCUGAGUUUGAAGAGGCACUUGGUAACUUGGGGCAAUGCUGUUUUGAUCUUCAUUUUGAUCUUAAUCUUCAUUGGAUGGGGUGGUUUGGGUUGUUUGGGUUGUUUUCCAUUUGCCUUCUUUUUAGCAGAUACUACUGAGGAAAAGAUAUGCCAUAGAUAAGAAUACAGAAUUAAUGAAGCUUAUUUGUCCUCCCUUAAAAUGGAAUACAGCUUCCUUAGAAAGAAAUGGACUAUAUAUUGAACUAUAUAUUUGGACUUAAUAUUUGAUGAAAGUUUUGGGUUUUGUUUUUGUUUUUCUGUUAUUGUUCUUUGUGUUUUGUUGUUAUUGUUAUCUGUAAUAUAAAAAAUCAAGUUUGGCUGGUGUUUCUCAGGCACAAGAAAACUAACCUAGUUAGCACAGUUGACAGAGUCAGUCUUCUUGGUUUCAGAGGUGUUUGAUCGCAUUGAUAUCAGACUCUAUUACUGUGGCUGAGUAGAGACGUGUUGUUUCAGCAUAGGUCUGCUGAAGCACUUCCAGCUAGUGUAAGUGGCAAUUUGUCUUUUGGGCAUCCAGAAAUUUCUAUGGUUCCCCGAGGAACCAUGCUGACCCAAAUGUUUCUGAAGUUACUGUAGUCUGUUUCUUGAAUAGCUCUAUUAAAGCUUAGGCUGUACAACUGUUAGAAAGGUGUUCUCUAACUAUAUAUCUUAAGCUCUUUAACAAUUGUAAGAGAUGGUACACCCAUCAACCUUUAAACUGUAAAAAUCCCAUAAGAGCUUUUUAUAGGACUGAUGCUUUGAGUUACAAGCUCUCCAGCAGAUUACAUCGUCCUAGUUUUUAGCACAAAAACCAGUCAAUUCUGGGUAAUAACAGUAUUGUAGAAAUACAUUUCCUUUAAAUAUUGCUUAUAUAAAAUAUUGUAACACUUCAUUAAAAGAACUGUCAGAACAUCGUUUCGAAGUUAGAAAACUCUGGAAUUUGCCAGUGAACCUUGAGACAGCCUUUCUGCAAAUGCAUUGCUUGACAGAAAAUGAGACACAAUAGGUAUAUAUAGAGAGAGAGCUGUACAUUGUUUGCUGUGCACUUUGACCAAAUACAGCAUUCUCUUCCUACCUUGCAGUCCACCCUAGUCUGUGUUUCACCCUCCUAUCAUCCUAGUCUACACAGUUAGCUUAUGUGUGUUGAAGCUUCCAGCACAGAGCACCAGAGUCCAGCCUUUUUUCCAUAUACGCGUAGCACUUGUCAAACUGCCAAGAAUUAUCAUAGGACUCUUUGUUAUUUUAAGUAUUAUAUGUUACAAUCUCUCAUAACACAAAUAUGUAUUGCAAUGUUCUUUUCUUCAGGCUGCUCCUUCCAGACCCCAUUUACCCAGUCCCCAUUAGGACUCUCUCCUCCUCAGCUUCCUAGUUUUACUUUCUAGCUAGCUUUACUUUCUAGUGUGUUUCUGCCAGUAUCCUUCUUUCCUCAGAAAGAAUAAUUACUGUCUGAUUCCUGUUUCUCACAAAGUCAUUUUCUCUUUUCUCUACCCAAUCUGAAGACAACCCAUCUCAUGCUAAGGUUUUCCUUGUUUAUCCCACAAUCUCUUUUGGUUGGACACAGUUCUUUAUUCACAGUCCAUGUCUGUGUAACCUGUUUCUCUUUAUGUUUCCCCUCCUUAUGGAUCAAUCUGUCUCACAGCUGAAUUAAUGCUAGCCACAUCAGUUAACAUUUUAUUUCUGUCUUACCCUUUCCCUCUUCUGUAAUAAGUAAGGUAUUCCUGACCAAAUCCUAUCAAAUUUUUGAUAUCUUUCUCAUAACACAAUAAGACACAUGAUGAAAUAACACAUUUAAUCAGAGAAAUUCUUAGAAUCACUUAGCACCAUUAAAAGUAACUUUUCCUUACCUAGCAAUGACUAGCAAAAACUUUGAAGUCUUCCAAAAUUUAGCCCAAGUAAAAGCAUACUAGAUGUAAUUCCACAGAAAAUAAUGACUUUUUAAUUGCUGUUCCAUUCUGUGAAUGAAAAUUCUAUUUUCAUUCCUACAUACCGCAGUUGAACAACCUUGCAAAUAGGUGAUGCUGUAGACCAUUGAUAAUAUAAAAAACAUUUGCUGUUAUAUUUAUUUGCUGUUAUAUUUAAAGACCUUGUGAUUUCCAUAACCCCUCUAUUGUAGUCUAAGAGGAAACAUGGAACAGACAAUUAUCAAGCAGUAAAAGGAAAUU